UGGUGGCGAGUGGCGAACGGGUGAGUAACACAUCGGAACGUGCCCAGUUGUGGGGGAUAACCUGGCGAAAGCCAGGCUAAUACCACAUGAGCUCGGUGAGAGGAAAGCGGGGGACCGCAAGGCCUCGCGCGAUUGGAGCGGCCGAUGUCCGAUUAGCUAGUUGGUGGGGUAACGGCCCACCAAGGCUGCGAUCGGUAGCUGGUCUGAGAGGAUGAUCAGCCACACUGGGACUGAGACACGGCCCAGACUCCUACGGGAGGCAGCAGUGGGGAAUUUUGGACAAUGGGGGCAACCCUGAUCCAGCCAUGCCGCGUGCAGGAUGAAGGCCCUCGGGUCGUAAACUGCUGUCGGGAGGGGAGAAAAGCAGCGGUGGAAACACUGCCGCUGCCUGACGGUACCUCCAAAGGAAGCGCCGGCUAACUCCGUGCCAGCAGCCGCGGUAAUACGGAGGGCGCAAGCGUUGUUCGGAAUUACUGGGCGUAAAGCGCGUGUAGGCGGUCUGGUAAGUCGGAUGUGAAAUCCCCGGGCUCAACCCGGGAACUGCAUCCGAAACUUCCAGGCUAGAGUCCCGGAGAGGAAGGCAGAAUUCCCAAUGUAGGGGUGAAAUCCGUAGAUAUUGGGAGGAAUACCAGUGGCGAAGGCGGCCUUCUGGACGGUGACUGACGCUGAGACGCGAAAGCGUGGGGAGCAAACAGGAUUAGAUACCCUGGUAGUCCACGCCGUAAACGGUGCGCACUAGGUGUCGGGGGGUAUUCACCCCUCCGGUGCCGAAGCUAACGUACUAAGUGCGCCGCCUGGGAAGUACGGCCGCAAGGCUAAAACUCAAAGGAAUUGACGGGGGGCCCGCACAAGCGGUGGGAGCAUGUGGGUUCAAUUUCGAUGCAACGCGGAAGAACCUUUACCUGGGUCUUGACAUCUCCGGGAAUCUCCC
rnacentral:rRNA from 1 species